AGGAGUGGCGAACGGGUGAGUAACACGUGGGUAACCUGCCCAUCAGAAGGGGAUAACACUUGGAAACAGGUGCUAAUACCGUAUAACAAUCGAAACCGCAUGGUUUCGUUUUGAAAGGCGCUUUACGGUGCCGCUGAUGGAUGGACCCGCGGUGCAUUAGCUAGUUGGUGAGGUAACGGCUCACCAAGGCCACGAUGCAUAGCCGACCUGAGAGGGUGAUCGGCCACAUUGGGACUGAGACACGGCCCAAACUCCUACGGGAGGCAGCAGUAGGGAAUCUUCGGCAAUGGACGAAAGUCUGACCGAGCAACGCCGCGUGAGUGAAGAAGGUUUUCGGAUCGUAAAACUCUGUUGUUAGAGAAGAACAAGGGUGAGAGUAACUGUUCACCCCUUGACGGUAUCUAACCAGAAAGCCACGGCUAACUACGUGCCAGCAGCCGCGGUAAUACGUAGGUGGCAAGCGUUGUCCGGAUUUAUUGGGCGUAAAGCGAGCGCAGGCGGUUUCUUAAGUCUGAUGUGAAAGCCCCCGGCUCAACCGGGGAGGGUCAUUGGAAACUGGGAGACUUGAGUGCAGAAGAGGAGAGUGGAAUUCCAUGUGUAGCGGUGAAAUGCGUAGAUAUAUGGAGGAACACCAGUGGCGAAGGCGGCUCUCUGGUCUGUAACUGACGCUGAGGCUCGAAAGCGUGGGGAGCAAACAGGAUUAGAUACCCUGGUAGUCCACGCCGUAAACGAUGAGUGCUAAGUGUUGGAGGGUUUCCGCCCUUCAGUGCUGCAGCUAACGCAUUAAGCACUCCGCCUGGGGAGUACGACCGCAAGGUUGAAACUCAAAGGAAUUGACGGGGGCCCGCACAAGCGGUGGAGCAUGUGGUUUAAUUCGAAGCAACGCGAAGAACCUUACCAGGUCUUGACAUCCUUUGACCACUCUAGAGAUAGAGCUUCCCCUUCGGGGGCAAAGUGACAGGUGGUGCAUGGUUGUCGUCAGCUCGUGUCGUGAGAUGUUGGGUUAAGUCCCGCAACGAGCGCAACCCUUAUUGUUAGUUGCCAUCAUUUAGUUGGGCACUCUAGCAAGACUGCCGGUGACAAACCGGAGGAAGGUGGGGAUGACGUCAAAUCAUCAUGCCCCUUAUGACCUGGGCUACACACGUGCUACAAUGGGAAGUACAACGAGUCGCGAAGUCGCGAGGCUAAGCUAAUCUCUUAAAGCUUCUCUCAGUUCGGAUUGUAGGCUGCAACUCGCCUACAUGAAGCCGGAAUCGCUAGUAAUCGC
rnacentral:rRNA from 1 species